rnacentral:lncRNA from 1 species
GCCCGUCAGUCUACCAACCCGUCGAAAAAUUACCCCAGACUUCAAAAUCAGGGACAAAACACCUAAAUUCGGAACAAGAUCUACCGGCGACCAAAAAACCAACGAAACCCGCCGGAACACCGGUCAAAUUCGCUGGAUCAGUCGUCAGAAAACCUCAAAAUGGUGCGCCACCGCUGAUCCUAAUCGAAUUUUCACCGGCGACCAAAAUCCGUACCCUUUUUCGACUAAUCAGCCGGCCUCGCAUCGGCGUCACCAUCCCUUCUCCCCUUCCCCGACGACCAAAUGGAUGGAUUUGCCUUUUUCCAUCAUAAAUGUCAAUAUUCCGGUGGCUAUUCCGCCGGAAAAACUCAAAAUUGCUAACCAUAUUCAUCACCACCGGUGAAGCCCCCCGCGCCGCCUCCCUUUCUCCAUACCGCCGCCGCUCCUCUCUCCCAGAUCUGGCCAAAAAGGCCAUUCUCUGGUGACCCGUCA